AGUGAACGCUGGCGGUAGGCCUAACACAUGCAAGUCGAACGGCAGCACAGUAAGAGCUUGCUCUUACGGGUGGCGAGUGGCGGACGGGUGAGUAAUACAUCGGAAUCUACUUUUUCGUGGGGGAUAACGUAGGGAAACUUACGCUAAUACCGCAUACGACCUUCGGGUGAAAGCAGGGAAUCUUCAGACCUCGGGCGAUUGAAUGAGCCGAUGCCGGAUUAGAUAGUUGGGGGGGUAAAGGCCCACCAAGGCGACGAUCCGUAGCUGGUCUGAGAGGAUGAUCUGCCCCACUGGAACUGAAACAAGGUCCAGACCACUAUGGUAGGCAGCAGUGGGGAGUAUAGUACAAGGGGCGCAAGCCUGACCCAACCAUACCGCGUCGCUGGAGAAAGCCUUCGGGUUGGAAAGCUCUUCUGUUGGGAUAGAAAGGCAGCAGGUCAAUACCCCGCUUUUCUGACGGUACUCUAUGAAUAAGCACCGGCUAACUUCGUG
rnacentral:rRNA from 1 species